rnacentral:rRNA from 1 species
ACACAUGCAAGUCGAGCGGAGAUGAGGUGCUUGCACCUUAUCUUAGCGGCGGACGGGUGAGUAAUGCUUAGGAAUCUGCCUAUUAGUGGGGGACAACAUUUCGAAAGGAAUGCUAAUACCGCAUACGCCCUACGGGGGAAAGCAGGGGAUCUUCGGACCUUGCGCUAAUAGAUGAGCCUAAGUCGGAUUAGCUAGUUGGUGGGGUAAAGGCCUACCAAGGCGACGAUCUGUAGCGGGUCUGAGAGGAUGAUCCGCCACACUGGGACUGAGACACGGCCCAGACUCCUACGGGAGGCAGCAGUGGGGAAUAUUGGACAAUGGGGGGAACCCUGAUCCAGCCAUGCCGCGUGUGUGAAGAAGGCCUUUUGGUUGUAAAGCACUUUAAGCGAGGAGGAGGAGCUCUAGAUUAAUACUCUAGAUGCUUGGACGUUACUCGCAGAAUAAGCACCGGCUAACUCUGUGCCAGCAGCCGCGGUAAUACAGAGGGUGCAAGCGUUAAUCGGAUUUACUGGGCGUAAAGCGUGCGUAGGUGGUCUUUUAAGUCGGAUGUGAAAUCCCUGAGCUUAACUUAGGAAUUGCAUUCGAUACUGGGAGACUAGAGUAUGGGAGAGGAUGGUAGAAUUCCAGGUGUAGCGGUGAAAUGCGUAGAGAUCUGGAGGAAUACCGAUGGCGAAGGCAGCCAUCUGGCCUAAUACUGACACUGAGGUACGAAAGCAUGGGGAGCAAACAGGAUUAGAUACCCUGGUAGUCCAUGCCGUAAACGAUGUCUACUAGCCGUUGGGGCCUUUGAGGCUUUAGUG